rnacentral:rRNA from 3 species
GAUUGAACGCUAGCGGGAUGCUUUACACAUGCAAGUCGAACGGCAGCGCGGACUUCGGUCUGGCGGCGAGUGGCGAACGGGUGAGUAAUGUAUCGGAACGUGCCCAGUAGCGGGGGAUAACUACGCGAAAGCGUAGCUAAUACCGCAUACGCCCUACGGGGGAAAGCAGGGGAUCGUAAGACCUUGCACUAUUGGAGCGGCCGAUAUCGGAUUAGCUAGUUGGUGAGGUAACGGCUCACCAAGGCGACGAUCCGUAGCUGGUUUGAGAGGACGACCAGCCACACUGGGACUGAGACACGGCCCAGACUCCUACGGGAGGCAGCAGUGGGGAAUUUUGGACAAUGGGGGCAACCCUGAUCCAGCCAUCCCGCGUGUGCGAUGAAGGCCUUCGGGUUGUAAAGCACUUUUGGCAGGAAAGAAACGUCGCGGGCUAAUACCCCGUGGAACUGACGGUACCUGCAGAAUAAGCACCGGCUAACUACGU